GAGAGCAAGAGACUGCGUGAAGGAAGCACAGCCAGCUCACUAUGGUCUAAGGAGAGAACAGGGAUUGACCUCAGUUUUAACCACCAUGCCCCUUGCUCACCAGGGCUCUGGGGCCGGCCAGGUCAGCCACUUGGUGGAAUUCCACCCUCAGGGUGGUUGAGCUGCAGCUGCAGCACCCGGCCUCCAGGUGGCGCCAAUCCGCUUGCUUUGUGGUGGGCUCUGGCAACCAGCUGAGCUGCACGCAGUCCCUCAGCCUCCCGAGGUCCUGGGAGCAGGGAACAAGGUGGUCCCCGUAAACCUGACAGAGGCUGCGGGAGUGCAUUUCCAUCCACGGUGCACUCAGCGGGUGGAACUCCACACCCGUUUCUUUGGAGUCAAGGCACGGCCUCUCAGUGAGGAGACUGCUCCUGGUUGCCCACUGCCGGGUCAUCCCAGCUUGCAGUGGAACCCUCCGCAGCCUGGCCUCUUCCAGGGUAGCCCCUCACUCCCCUCUCUCCUGUACUAGGAGACAGGCCGAGGAGGGCUGACGAGUUCCAGCUUUGGGGAUGCCCCAUCAGCUGUGUCACCUUGUUGGGUCUCGAAGUUUCCUCCAGCGUGAAACGUGGUGGAGGCAUGAGGGGCUAUGGGAGCCCCAAGGUCUCUUUCAGAGACUUCCUCUGGGUCCCAUGUGUCCCCGUGGCUGUCCCUAAAGGCAAGAGGGUCCCCAGCCCUGCAGCCAAGUCUCUGGGACACUCUUUCCAAACAAGUGCAGGUCUCUGACGGGCUGAGCUUUGCUCGCUUGGGUUUCUUUGCUUUUUUCCUUUUUUUUUUUUUUCUGUUUCCUGGAUGAAAUUCCUGCCAGCUCCGAAGGAAGAAGGGAAGGGGAGCGAGCCGCAGAGUAGAAAGUUUCCUUGACUCCUCUUCCGGCUGGGUCUCCCUCCCUUGCCAAGCCCCGCCUGUGAAACUGAAUAACGAAGAUGACUCAACAAUGCCUGCCUGUCUGACUGCACUGUCCCGGCGCUCCCACCGCCGCCGCCGACACCCAGUAGAGCCCCCGGGGCGGUCCCCACCAACGGUGCAGCCCGCUGGGACUGGGAAGAAGCAGCUGCGGCCACCACGCCCGUGCCUUUGCGCGCCCGGCCUCCAGGGGCCCCAGCAGCCCGGCCGCCGAGAUGCCCAGCCCGCCCGGGCUCCGGACGCUGUGGCUUUGCACCGCUCUGUGAGCCUCCCGGAGCGCCGGCGGCGCCCCCCAGCCCGACCCGGGGCCCACCGCCUGCCCGGCCCCCUGCCACUGCCAGGAGGAUGGCAUCGUGCUGUCUGCCGACUGCUCUGAGUUCCGGCUGUCCGCCGUACCAGGGGACCUGGACCUCCUGACGGCUUACCUAAAGUGACUUUGCCAGCACCAUCUCCCUUCACUGGGGCCUCCUAGCUCCCCCAGGGGCCUCCCUAAAGUCAUGUCCCAAGAGGCUGUGUUGGAGACACUAAUUUGUGGGCAGGCGCCGAGGCUGAAAACCAGAGAACCAUUUUUAGCGUCUGAGUUGGGGUGAGAUGGCGUGUGAAGGGGACCCUACUGGGGGCAGCUGUCCUGUCCUUCUGGCUCACAGGAGCUUUCCUUCAGAGCUGGAGGGCUGGGGGCUCUGGCUGCUCACCACCUGGGCAGGAGGAGGGUGAGAGAGCACAUUCCAGGCCACCCACCCGUACCCCCAGCCCCGCUCUGGGGAAAGGAAACCUCCUCUAGCCCAGCUCUGCAGGCUCCAUCAACUUCCUCAGAGGAGCUGGGAGCAGGUGGGAAAGCCUGGAGCCUUCUGCUGAGGGCUGGGAUCCCAGAGCUCCUUCUGGCCUGAGAGAGGCCCCUCAUGGCUUUGGGGUUCUAGCACGUGGGAGCUUAGGGGAAGAGGAGGCUGGGCGAAUCUUUAUGGGGGCCUAGCAAGAAUUUGUGGAACUAAAAGGAUGCUCAGUGUUGGCAGUGUCCUGGGACACUGCCAGAUAGACACUGGGAGAUAGAGGGUCCCAGAUGGCAACUCUUCUUGGGGCUCCUCUCCAAAUGUCCCUGUCCCCAGGUUGGGAUGUCCCACUCCACCCCAAAAGGCACAGGCUGUGGGCCAGGUAAGGACGGAGUGAGAGAGAAAAAUUAUGUCCAUCUUCUAGAAGGACAAAUGGAAUCCUUCACUGUGCAGCAGGUGACGGCAGACGCAAUCAUGGGAAUAAAGGAAGUAGCAGGCCAGAGAGGACUCGAAGAUCCUUAGAAGGAGCCAUAGACGGAACCAUAGGAGGCGCCCAGGAGCUAUGGGCUCCAGAAGGUACCCGCAAGUCCUCUUGCACAUUCCUUGACCUGGUCUCAAUAAAAAUGACAUCACGUCUCUUCCCCCACUCCACGGCUGUGAGAUUUUCUCCUUCUAGCCAGUACCUUUCAUGAGGUAGGUGCUUCCACCUCUCCAUCUUGGUUCUAGGGAAGACCAGAAAGUCGUCUUUAUAGCCAACUGGUAUUCUUUGCCUUGACACUCAUGUCCAGAAGCUAUUACCACUUUUGGGCUCAAUGCCAGCCCUGUUUGAUCAAGGUUGGGAAGACAGACUUCAGAUACUCAGAAUCCUUCAUAUGUCUCUCUUUUUUCAACAGUUUCCUCCUAAACUAGUCUCAGCGAGGCUCAUUGACACUCACCGGGGGUUUGACAUUCCCCCUGGCUAGGGCCUGUUCUGGAAAUAGUCCAAGAGGGAGAUAGAGCCCCUGGCUCUGGGGCAUCCAAUCUGAUGGUGAUGAAAAGGCAUGAUGCCUCUUGUUCUAUUCUUUUUUCUUUCUUCUUUUUUAAAAAAAUAAAAGUCCAGUAAUGUGCUGACUUCAUAACAAGGUUUGAGGGAGGCACUUCUCACACGUGAGCACGAAAACCCAAUCAUCACGCUUCUUAACUACAAAAGGAUCACCUCUUGUUCUAUUCUAUUGCAUGUGCACAUGAUGCAGAGACAGGAAUACACAGACAGCAAAUAACUUGGGCAGAUAAUCCCUGCAGUUGUUCCUGAGUAGAUAGAUCUGGGUAGUUACUCUGGGCCCCCAAGGCUGAGCAGUGUCAGUAAACAGAUGGUGCCAGAAAAGGUGUCUCACGCAGCUAGUUGUAAAAGACCUCGGGCUCAUGCACUUGCAGUCACACCUAAGCACCCAUUUUCAUCGCCCACUGCCACCAGGGCUGAGGGAGGGGCCGCUACACCAUGCAACCCCCACUUCAGACUGCUGAUUGCUUUCUUGGGAAUUCAUUCCCUUUAAGAUUGCCUGUGAUAACUGAUAACCACUGGACUUGUUUGAAAGGUUAGAUGGUAUGUGCAUGUGUGUCUGUGUGUGUGCGUGUGUGUCUGCGUGUGUCUCUGUGUGUGUGUAGAUACAGGGUAAUUUGCAGGGGAUGUCUACAGCCAAAAUGAUGGAGGCAGGAUGCUGGAGGCAGAGAGUAAGGGGUUGUGGCAUUUGCCACAACAAAGCAGAGUUCAAACUAUCACUUACUAGCUAUGUAACACCCAGCCAGUUGAUUAGCCCUUCUGUGACUUAGUUUCCUCACCUGUAAACAGGGUUAAGAUCUACCUCAUAGGGUUGUUGUGUGGAUUCACUUAGAUGAUGUUUGCAAAGGGUUUGGCAUAAUGUCUGGUCCAUGGGAAGAGCUCAAUAAAUGUUAGCCAGUGUUGUUAUAAGGCUGACCAGGGCCAAGAAAUGUCAGUCAUGGAAGUCUUCCUGGAGGAGGAAGUCUUGGAGCUAGCACGGGAGGGAGGGAAGCAGGCCUGUUCUAUGAAAGGUGUAGGAUAGGUGUGUGUGUAGUUGGGGGCUGUGAGAGGUGCAAGACGCCGCAAAGAAGAUGGAAUGAGCUCUACUGGGAACCCAGAGUAACUUUAGGUGUUUUUUUUUGUUUUUUUUUUGUUUUUUUUUUUGUUUUUUUGUUUUUUUUCAAGAGUACAGUCUGAAAAACCAGGGAGGGGAGCACCUGAUGGAAGACGCCAGCGUGCUCCCUUACAUGGUCUAGACGGGCCCCUGCAGGGGCUACAGAUGAGGAAGCAGAGAAACAGGCGGCCUUAACGGGAGAGCCAGCCUUGGAGAGGAUGUGUUGUGAAUUGGGGGUGGGGGUGCCAACGUGCCAGGCCUCAUUUCUCACUUCCAAGGCCACCCUUCUCUGGCUCAGUCUUAGUCGCCCUUUCUAAUAGAUUCUAAGAGUUUGACUCCUUCAGGAAGCUUCGGGUUUGUGAGUUCUAAUCUUCAGUCUCAGUCGCUAUGAGACCCCGUGCAAGUCCCAAAACUUCUCUGGACCUCAAUGUCCAGAGAAGCCAUGUUUUGGAUGAAAAACCAGAAAGUGGCAGAGGUAGGGAGCAAUCCACUUUGAGUCUCCUGCUCCUGGUGUGGGACAGAGAAAGCUCCCGGGGAGAGCUGCUCAGCUGCAGGCAGUGAGGGAAGGGAAGGAGGGAAGAGGAGGACCCAGGCAGCGCCCAGACCAGGGUGGGGAAGAGAACUUAUUCUUACGCAACUUCCUGUUCUCUUAUCCUUGAACUUGAAGCCAGGAAUAGGGACAGGGAUAGAGGGGCCAAGGCUUGGAGCCGCUGGGCUAUGCAGAUGCACUUGCUUGUCCAGCAACAGUUGGACAGGGCCUGGCCUGGGCAAUGUGCUCCGGGGUGCGUGGAAAAUGUGGUCAUUCUUUGUCCGGGGAAUUAUUCUUAUUCCCUACCAUUUCUAUUUACAGAGAAUUUUAUACUUCCUUACAGACACUGAAUUAUUGUGUUAAAUUAUUAUAACUUAAUAGCUUCUGAAAUAUACAAACAACAAGAUGAUGCCGACAUGGCUGUUAGAAGACAAGACAAAUAAUUAGCAGACUUAUGCUCAUUUGUGUCAUUGAACAAUUCAUCUCAUUCGUUCCUGAAGGCGCUGCCGUUUUCCUGCUCUCCGUCUGUGGGGGUGCUUGUUUACACAUCUCUCGCAAGAAAAGCACUUCUCUCUGGCUUCUCUCUUCCUCCCUCCCUCCUUCCUGCCUUCCCUUCCUCCUUCCUUCUCUCCCUCCCUCCUUUUCUCCCCGUUCCUUUCUUCUUUCUCUCCCUCCUUCGCUCUUCCUUCCUUUACUGAUGUAACAACCUUGGUGUGCCGUGGCUAAGCCACACUCCACCCCUGACCUGCGGAGGAUGAGUCAAACGGUCAGACUCGCCUGGGCUUGUUCCACGCUCCCCUGGCUGGACAGGCGUCUACACAUUCUCAGUUAGGGGCUGGAUGGGGGCAGCUGCUAGACAGGCCCUAUUCUGGGCCUCUCUGAGAAGAAGUGUUCCUGAAAAGAAAGGGAGCCUCCUGCUUCCAUGGCCCCUUAGCCAUGCCAAGGGGCAGCACCGGCUUUCUGCUGAUGCUGACGAGCUGUGGUGUGAAUUCACGAAGGUCAGCUGAUUCACGGGCCCUGGAUCUCUGCUCUCCUUCCGCUAAGUGGGACUCAGGCCAGCCUGCCGUGAAGGAGGUGGCUGCUGCAGCUUUCAGGAAGGAACACCAGGUGUCAACCCCACUGGGUGACCAACCCCACCUGGCUAGGACCCAGUCCCUGGUGGCUGCUUCCCCAAGAGGCGGGCAGGGCUGGGGCUAGGGGCUGUCCGCGAGUGUUCUGGACUGUCCCCUUGCCACCAUUCCCACAGGCUGCUCAGGACCGAGGCUGAGACAAGCGACCAGGACGGGAUUGUAUGGCUGCAGGAGGCUACACAGCCCCAGAGGCUGCUUCUAAGAGGCCCACGUGGCCUGCAUGGGGAUGUGCCUGGCUGUCCAGCAUGUGGUCAUUUGAAUUGUACAUGUUUCACUGGGAUGCCUAUAGAAAAGUAGACAGAAUAUCUGGAAAAAGUUGUUGAAAGGUUGCAAACUUAGCUACUUUUAAAAUUAAAAAAAAGCUUCGUAAUUAUAAAAGCAAUAUAUCCAAGUGUAAAUUUUAAAAUAAUUUGCUGCAUUAUAGUAAGCAUCCUAUGAUCUCUGUGUGCCCUAUAACAUGUUGUAUAGUUUAAAUAUAUACAAUAAAAUCUAUUUUAAAAAAUAGGCAAUUAAAUCUCAUUUUAA